AGUGAACGCUGGCGGUAGGCCUAACACAUGCAAGUCGAACGGCAGCACAGAGGAGCUUGCUCCUUGGGUGGCGAGUGGCGGACGGGUGAGGAAUACAUCGGAAUCUACUCUGUCGUGGGGGAUAACGUAGGGAAGCUUACGCUAAUACCGCAUACGACCUACGGGUGAAAGCAGGGGAUCUUCGGACCUUGCGCGAUUGAAUGAGCCCAUGUCGGAUUAGCUAGUUGGCGGGGUAAAGGCCCACCAAGGCGACGAUCCGUUACUGGUCUGAGAGGAUGAUCAGCCACACUGGAACUGAGACACGGUCCAGACUCCUACGGGAGGCAGCAGUGGGGAAUAUUGGACAAUGGGCGCAAGCCUGAUCCAGCCAUACCGCGUGGGUGAAGAAGGCCUUCGGGUUGUAAAGCCCUUUUGUUGGGAAAGAAAUCCAUCUGGUUAAUACCCGGGUGGGAUGACGGUACCCAAAGAAUAAGCACCGGCUAACUUCGUGCCAGCCGCCGCCGUAA
rnacentral:rRNA from 1 species